AAUUAACACACAGGAGAGACAGUUGUGCUUGCACUUUAUCAAGCCUCUUGGUAAGAUUAUGUACUCCAGAUAAUUAAUCAUUACAUUUCCCUAUACGCAUAAUUACAUCCACUUUCUUGCUCUCCCACCUCCACACAUAUAAACAAUUCAUAUGCAUGUAUUUACAGAGUAAUUACAGAGUGCGUAUGCUGUGAUUAAAGGCAAUAUAAACUGUGUUACCCUAAUUACAAGAGAAAAAACAACAAAAAAACAAAUACCCCAAACAAGUGAAAGCACAGGCAGAAAAUGGCAAAAAUUCUUUAACUGAGUCCAAAAACCUUGCUUUCUGAAAAAUUAAAAAGAAGAAAAGAAACUCAAAUUAUCUCUACUAUGUGCCUGGCACAAAAACUGAGGGUACAAGCCAGCCCAGCAAGUCUCCUGUUUGUAAAUUAUUUAAUGUAUGGGACAGAAAUCAGAAAAUAAUGUUGCCUGAGACAAGAUGAAAGAAACGCCACAUCUCAAAGUUUGAACAUAUUCUGCACUGUUUGGGCUCAGUGCUCUCCCACUGGAUGAGAGGAGCUCCUGUAGACUUAGCUUCAGUGGAAAAUAACUGCAUCCCACACAAGCUGUGCAAUUUCCUGGCUGAUUAAGAAUGGAAAAUUGCAUUUUUUCCUGGUCACCUGAAAUUUGGAGCCUGGCUUGAUCUUCCUGCAGAAAACACGUCUGGAGGUCCUCCCUGUGCAAACCCUAACCCUUCUGCAUCUGGGCUGAGUCGCCAGCAGAAGGUGUCUUAUUUAUUAAUAAAGAAGCCAGGAAAUUGGAUCAGUGCCAGGAGAGAACCUGGCUGGAGUUAUUGCAGAAUAACUGGCCAAAGUUAUCAGAACCAGUCUGCAUCACUCCUGGAGAAGGUGUGUGGGAAAGCGCAUCCACAAAUAGAGACUGGUAGUGCUUAUUUGGAUUGCCAUUCAAAAUCAUCAUUGUCAAGCACCAUCUCUACCAGAUAUAAAAUCAAAGUGGAUGUUGUAUGUCUGCACACUUCACCCUGUGCUGUGGAAGCAGUCGUGUAAUAGAUAAUAAGAAAGACAGUGAAGUUCAUGUGGGAUCAUGGUAAAGAAACAGAGAAAAAAUUGUGGAUAGCUGGCUUUAGCUGAGAAGCAGUUCUGCAGUGAACUAAACUAGUCAUGAAGUAUCAUGGAACUGAGCAAAAUUCUAUUAUAUGGUUGAAGUUAGGGUGGGAAAAAAGGAAAACGUUUAGAAAAGUAAGUGUCCCCAUUUCAGAAGAGAGGUUUGCUUUGAAACAUAGCCACAUUUUAUCUGAAGGAGAAAAAAUCAGUCAAAAUGCCUGAUCUGUGGCAUUUUGAUUGUCUUCUGGAGAACUGCUACACAGCUGUUAGCCUUCUUGGUAAAGACAGAAGGGCAGACGUUGGGUCACUUUGCUUUGAAAGUCGUGAGAUGUUACAGAAUGCAUAACUUGAUGAUGCCAAAGGUUAUCUUCCAAGCAGAACUUUUAGCAGGUAACUCACCAGAGUAAGUAUUGCAAAAUAAAGUUUCUGCUCCUGCCCCGGGGAAUGAUGGUUCAGAGGUAGGUGGUAUUUCAAAACGAUGUUUCUUAGUCUGAGGUACCUUGCAAAUAUUUACAGUUUCAGCCUGCACCUAAAUUAAUGCUUACAGAUGGACGGUGUAAAUAUUCCUGUGUCUUCCUCUUUCAAGAACCAGGUUACCGGUUUGCCUUUGUUGAAACUGAAUGCUCUUCUGCAGCCCGCAUGCCACAUUCAGAAGGUUAUGAGCUUUUGGAGGAUCUAGGUGUAACUGUGAUACUAAAGAAUUGCUUGAAACUAAUUUUAAGGAAAAGAUUAAAUUUUAUAAUAGUUGUAAAUCCUGAAUGGUCUGAUAGGGGUGGUUAGUCUCCUUUAAAAGAGAGAUUUAAAGCAACCCUUCUCUAUAAUCCAUUCAAGGCUUUGAAGUUAGACCACUGGAAACCUAGAUUUAAGCUACAAGUAAUCCUAUAGCAUUGUCUUCUGCUGCUUGUAAAAGCCACAGCAGCCUGUGCAGUUUUGACCAUAUUUAUAGAAAUGGAAUCAAUUUGUUGGCAGAAUAUUAUAUAUCUAACCAUAUGUUGGCUAUCUAACCAUAUCUAACCAGUUGGCUAUGUAAUAUAUUCAUUCAAAUAUGGUGAUGAGAUCUGUGGAUUUUAUAAUCAUAUUGCGGGUAUUCACAGUUAUAAAAGUUAUACUCAAAAAUAAACACAUAGAGCAGAAAUAGUUUCCUG
rnacentral:lncRNA from 7 species